AUUGAACGCUGGCGGCAGGCCUAACACAUGCAAGUCGAACGAGUGGCGGACGGGUGAGUAAUGUCUGGGAAACUGCCUGAUCGAGGGGGCUAACUCCUGGAAACGGUAGCUAAUACCGCAUACUAUCAGAUGGGCCCAGAUGGGAUUAGCUAGUGGGUGGGGUAACGGCUCACAAAGGCGCCGAUGCCUAGCGGGACUGAGAGGCUGACCAGGCACACUGGAACGGAGACACGGUCCAGACUACUACGGGAGGCAGCAGUGGGGAAUAUGGCACAAUGGGCGCAAGCCUGAUGCAGCCAGGCCGCGUGUAUGAAGAAGGCCUUCGGAUUGUAAAGUACUUUCAGUGGGGGGGCGUUACCCGCAGAAGAAGCACCGGCUAACUCCGUGCCAGCAGCCGCGGUAAUAC
rnacentral:rRNA from 1 species